GGAAAAUUUCUAAAUGUAAUCAAUUUUAAUCAACUUUAUUAUCAUAAUUUAGUUUAACCAGGGUCCUUGUUCAUAAGAUAUCACUAUUGGAAUCUUUACCUAGUUCUUUUUGUGCACAGGUCCCAGAUGAAGCAGUCUCAAAAUGUACCGCUUGUGGCACUGAUUUUGGGGCUUUUAACCGCAAGGUUGAUCUCCCUGUUUCUUUCCUCAUGCUAUGUUUUCUGUUUCUUGUGAUGUUUUUCUAAUGACAGCGUUUUGCUUCUUCCAGCACACUGUAGGAACUGUGGUGAUAUUUUCUGUGACAAAUGUACACAUGGUAGAAUUGCUCUAACUGCUGAAGAGAAUGCUCAGCCAGUACGAGUUUGCGACCGAUGCAUGG
rnacentral:lncRNA from 1 species